rnacentral:rRNA from 1 species
CCUACGGGUGGCAGCAGUGGGGAAUAUUGCACAAUGGGGGAAACCCUGAUGCAGCGACGCCGCGUGAGUGAAGAAGUAUCUCGGUGUGUAAAGCUCUAUCAGCCAGGGAGAAAUAGCGACCUCUGGGUCGCCAGACGGUACCUGAUUAAGAAGCCCCGGCUAACUACGUGCCAGCAGCCGCGGUAAUACGUAGGGGGCAAGCGUUAUCCGGAUUUAAUGGGGGUAAAGGGAGCGUAGACGGCAGCGCAAUUCUGAAGUGAAAUGCCGGGGCUUAACCCCGGAACUGCUUUGGAAACUGUGGAGCUAGAGUGCAGGAGAGGUAAGUGGAAUGCGUAGUGUAGCGGUGAAAUGCGUAGAUAUCAGGAGGAACACCAGUGGCGAAGGCGGCUUACUGGACUGUAACUGACGUUGAGGCUCGAAAGCGUGGGGAGCAAACAGGAUUAGAUACCCCAGUAGUC